GUCCAGUAAGAAGGACCCCCCACUGGUGUCCGAGUCCACAGGGAACUGAAGGCGGAAAAACAGCAGAAUUAGAGCAGAUUUAAUUCAAUAAUUCAACACUUCCAUGUAACCUUAAACUAACCAGCAGAAAAAUGUUCCAGACAAUAACUCACUGUUUUUGAUGAUUCGGGUGAGGUGACAGGUGAGAGAUGAUCCGGAGACAGUUGAGAAAUCUCGUUAAAUAACGACAGAGACUGGGUCUUACUGGGCUGACUAGGACUGACUAGGUUUGUAGACACAUGAUGAAGUUGGCUCUGGAGUUGGACAUUAGUCUCUUGGAUUUCUAUAAUCUCUCGCUCCUGGUUCUGGACCUACAAAACAAGGCAUGGAAUAAUUAGGAAGACCCAGAUAAUAACUAUAAUAUACUGAUCAGUGAAUCAUGGAACAGAUUGAAAUUUGGAGGUGUUUGGUAUUUGAAUACACUACACCUUUCAUUGAGAACAUCCCUCGUGAGGAAACAGAUGGUAUAUGCGUGGUAUGUCAUAGAAAGCCAUUUUGUGUCAUUUCCAUAAAAAUAGCCUGACAUGGAGUGAAUAACAUUAAUCCCAGUGAGAUUGGAUCAAUAUUGGAGCCAUCGUUUUUAUACACUUUGUGUUACAAGUGGGAACUAUGCUACAAUUAUGUACACAUAGAACAGGAAGGAAAAAAGACAUGCUUAUCUAAAACUUGGUGCGGUCAUAUGACAAAUGAAGAAUUAAAUAAUGUGCAUUUAUGGUGUGGCAAUUCAUGCAAAAAUAAAUAAAAAUUUCAGGUACAUUAAAUGUACUCUUUUAA